GCAUUUAAUAACUGGUAUAUUUUGCCCAAGGCCAUAAUUUCAUUGCAUCUGCACAGACAUGUACAAACAAACAUUUCACAGGCCAAAAAAAAAAAAGUAUUAUCUAGUGCAGUCAACUGAUAGAACGCUGCUAGUAUGUGUGAUCUCUCGCUUUUGUUACUUACUCUGAAAUUAUUUUCUGGCAGAAAGCCUGACUAAACAAUAGUUCUGAGAUUUGUCAUUUUGUAGAUGGUAUUCCUGACUCUUGUCUCAAAAACUAUCCAUGGAGCUCUCCAAGGAUUGAUUUUCUUGGAACUCGUGUUAGAAAAAAACAUCUACCGACCGACUUGUCCCAGAAACAACGAGGACAUGCAAGUUGUAUUCACCACAGUAGACUGUGAAGAAUAUACUCGGUAGAGCUUGAAGUAUGGUAUAUAUGUACUCGGUAGAAACGGAUACUUUCCAUAUACAUGUGUACAUUGAUCGGUUUUACUGCUAUAAAACAUACAUGUCUGUGCAGCUUAACAAAGUAGCCAACCUCAGAUUUUGUUUCUGGUACAGUCCCAGUGGUGUGUGUAGCAGGUACAUAACUUCUCAUCUGUUUGCUUCAGUUUGCUAUUUUAUAGGCUUGAUUUUCAAACACAGCACAAUACAACUUAAAAAGAAAAAUCAUUAUACUAAUCUUAAAUUAUUAUUUUUUAUUGUAUAGGUUUUAGUAAGGAAGUUUCUACUUAUUGAUACUGGACGAAUACGAGAAUUUUAUCAAAUUUAAGGGCCAAAUUUACAAAGCCUGUUUUUGUUUUGCAUGCAUGUAACUACGUAAUAUAUUAAUUAUAACACCUGGGUUUAACAAAAACAGACAUUGUAAAUUCAGCCCAGAGUUGAUUUUUUUUUUUUUUUUACACUAGGUUAUGGCUGUUGUGUGUACAGUAACUGAGUGUGUUAUGUCUGUUUAGCGAGAUGAUGUGUAUUGUAACAGACUGAUGUGGUUUUAGGCCAGGGAGAUUGAUUAGUUCCAUACCACCUUAUUCUCCAUGAAGGUAGUGUGUUGCCAAACCAUAUAUUAUUAUGCAAAGUGAUGUGCUGUUGUUUGUCAUGAAUGUUUGCCAGGUGUGGUAGAAUCGUUUACAGAGCUGUGAUCCUUUCAUGGUAUUGGUGUUCGCUGGACUAAAAAAUAAAUUAUUUUAAAUUA